rnacentral:rRNA from 1 species
UACGUAGGUCCCGAGCGUUGUCCGGAUUUAUUGGGCGUAAAGCGAGCGCAGGCGGUCUGAUAAGUCAGAAGUAAUAGGCUGUGGCUCAACCAUAGUACGCUUUUGAAACUGUCAAACUUGAGUGCAGAAGGGGGGAGUGGAAUUCCAUGUGUAGCGGUGAAAUGCGUAGAUAUAUGGAGGAACACCGGUGGCGAAAGCGGCUCUCUGGUCUGUAACUGACGCUGAGGCUCGAAAGCGUGGGGAGCGAACAGG